GCUCAACACAAGUAUCGUCUGGAAAGCGGA
rnacentral:piRNA from 1 species